UGGAAGACAUUGGAAUCAGGAGAGCAUUUAUUUAAAACAUUAAUUUCUUUUAAAACAUUAAAUAAAUGCUCUCCUGAUUCCAAUGUCUAUAUCCAA
rnacentral:pre_miRNA from 1 species